CUAGUAUAAUUUUUUUAAUUGAAAAUAAUCUCACCAUCAUAUAUAUAAAAUGAUAAAAUUUUAAAAAUUAUUUUUCAAUUACAUGUAACCAAUCAAAUUAUUUAUAAUUGCAGAGCUUUUUACUAUAUCCAACCAAAUAGGAUGCAUGUAGUUAUAACUGUUAUAUUUUCAACUGCAUGCAUCUCCAACUACACCAUAUUUAUAAUUGCAUCAAACCAAACAGCCCCUUAGAGAAACUUCAACAGGAUGAUUAAUGUGAUUCAUAAACUUACUUUGAAAUUAAUUAUCAAAUUGUGAAAAUGUUGUGUAAG
rnacentral:lncRNA from 1 species